rnacentral:rRNA from 1 species
UACGGAGGGUGCAAACGUUGCUCGGAAUCAUUGGGCGUAAAGCGCACGUAGGCGGCCUGAUAAGUCGGGUGUGAAAGCCCUGGGCUCAACCCAGGAAGUGCACUCGAAACUGCCAGGCUUGAAUAUGGAAGAGGGUCGCGGAAUUCCCGGUGUAGAGGUGAAAGUCGUAGAUAUCGGGAGGAACACCAGUGGCGAAGGCGGCGACCUGGGCCAAUAUUGACGCUGAGGUGCGAAAGCGUGGGGAGCAAACAGG